GCCCCGGUAGUUCAAUGGAUAGAACUGCGGACUUCUAAGCCGCUAAUGGGGGUUCAAUUCCCUCCCGGGGCA
rnacentral:tRNA from 1 species